AAAGUACCAAAAAGUGUAAUCAGACUUGGCUUUGCAAGUAAUUUCGUUAAUCGAACUUAAGAAUUCCGAAAAGUGAUUGCAGCAGGAACAGUGUUUAAGAUGGAACUCUGGCACUUUGGGAAAUUUCUCUCCCUUCUCUCCAAAAUUAAAACUGCAUUUUACAACAAUAAAUAUGUAAACAAAAAAGUUUUUCUUGUUUGGAUCAUAGUGGAACUUUUGGGGCACAUGCGCAUUUAUUUUUCCUUUGUGUUGUUAUUGCUUCUGCUUUCCACUGUUCAUUCUUCCCCAAUUAAACAAAGCGGGUCCAUUCUCUCCACCGUGGAGUCCAUUGUGAUUUGUGUGAGAGGCGCACAUUCACCGAAAAAGCGCACUUCGUGACUGAAGCCAAGUAAGGAAGCUGCAAGUAUGUUGAAUUAUUUUAAAGACGUAAUGGCCCCCACAACGCGCAGCUCAAAAGCUGAAGCAGACAAUAAAGAUGGCGGUAUUUGUACUAAAGUGGGGCUUAGUGAAAAUUUUUCAGAAAAUUCUCUGCCACCUCCACAAAUGAAGGGCUACAAAAUCACAGACAACGAACGUACAAAAAAAUACGGCAUUGGCGCAAAUUCAUUACAAAUGCUCAAAGAGAAGGCGAUAUUAAAGUUUCCUAUCAAAGACUUAAAACUGUAUUUGUCAACUGAUGGCUUUGAAAUAUCUGAUGAUGAUUACUUUCAAACGUUGGCGGCACAAACAUUAUUUAUUGUUGCUGGACCGGAUGAGAUUAUAACGACAGAUGCUGACUUUGAAUUUGAAAAGCUGCGCAAAAAUUCUCCUUUACUCCGUGUUGCCGACAUCAUUUAUGAAUUUAUCGAACAUAACCCUGAACAGUUUCGUAAAAUGAUUACAGAUUAUGAAAAUCGUAAGAUUUGUCACAAGCAAGCGCUCGACAGAAAUCAACAAGCGUAUGAUAACAAAACUCAAUUUAGUUUGCGCACCGAACAUAGCGAAUGGUUCGAGGGGCAAGAAGAACGCUGUCAUUCAAAGGAAGAGGCCAUGGCACGUCGCGCACAAGAUCGCAUGCGUAGUUACUAUUAUAAAACUAAGGAAGAGCUUACACGCAAUAAACUCUAUCGCCAAAAUCUUAAAGCCCGCCAUGUAAUCGACGCUGUAUUGGAACAAUUUCGCUAUCUGCUCAUCGGUUGCGAUUACUUCUCGACGCUGUUUAAUCGAAAGUGUCCGAAAAAGCAUUCAAUUGUGCAACAGCAUCUCGACGACGAAACUGAUGCCAGCGCAAUGCUUCCAAACAAACGGCUACGACAAGUUAUCAAAGAGUAUACAGCACGCCAUCAAAUAUUGGACGAGUGGUCUGUGUCACUGUGCACCGAACUGGGUGAUUUCUAUUGUCAGGGCAGCUAUUCUGAUAACGGAAACUGCUGUGCUUUGAAACACACUAUUAAUCCUUAUGCGUCGCGAGAAAAUUUGAUACUUUUCCAAGUGUGGAAUUUGGAUCAUCAAAUUGAACUUUCACGUUCCAUAUUGCCAGCAUUAAUUGAUAAUGUACGCAUGCUAGUGGAGCAACCACAAAAGAAAUGCACCUUACAUAAUAAACGCGUCAUUGACAUUUCAGUGUUGGAAUAUUUCUUGGAAAUAUUUUCGCUGAAAAAUUUGAAACUCGUGCACAUUGUGUGUCAUGAAAAAACGCAACGUGCAAACAAAUCAAAUGGACGUUUAGUGUGCGCACAAUGUCAUGAAUACAAAAUCGUACAGGAGUUGAUGGGUGUGCGUGAAAAUGAAGAGGAUGUGGAUGUAGCAAGUUAAAGAUAAUUUUUGAUACAAUGAGCUCGUGUUGAAAGAUGGCAAUGACUUUUCAAAUGAGAUUGUCUUAAAACAUGCCUCGGCAGCGGUCAUUGUUCCGAUCUAAAUUAAUUGUGCAAGAAACCUUCUUAUAAAACCAUUUGCCGUUCGGAAGCGUCGUUAAAUUAUAGUUCGCUCCAUUUGUUUUACAACAUCAGGAUGCACACCCCAAAUCGGAGGAGAAAUUCGGCCUAACACUUAGUAAAAGGGUAAGCACCGAAAUACUAUUAUUAUUAAUAAUUUAAUGUACCUUUUAUUACGAAUUUUAAAAUAAAAUAGUAAAAAACGUUUCCAAAAAAAAGGUCACAUUUGGUUCUUAAAAAUUUCAAAAUACACAGCCAAUAAAAAGUUAGCUUAGGAAUAAACUGUAGCUCAUUUCAUUCACAGAAAAGUCGCAGAAAUUUGAAAUACCAGCGGAACAAUGAAAAUUGCACUUACAGUCAACGUUAAAAAUAUGAAUAUCCUGACGUUUUGACGAUUUAAUUUAUUUACAUUCUCAAUACCAAAUUUUUCUUAUUUCUUUGUCAAAAUAUAAUUCGUACAACAGCGAAAACCAGCAGAAGCAAUUUUAUUAAUUUCAUAAAGAACUCGGGAAAAUUCAAGAAAUACCCAAAAAAAUUCAUCAAAAUGUUCA